rnacentral:rRNA from 1 species
CAUAUCAAUAAGCGGAGGAAAAGAAACUAACAAAGGAUUCCCCUAGUAACUGCGAGUGAAGCGGGAAAAGCUCAAAUUUAAAAUCUGGCAGUCCUUUGGCUGUCCGAGUUGUAAUCUAGAGAAGUGUUAUCCGCGCUGGACCGUGUACAAGUCUCCUGGAAUGGAGCGUCAUAGAGGGUGAGAAUCCCGUCUUUGACACGGACUACCAGGGCUUUUGUGAUAUGCUCUCAAAGAGUCGAGUUGUUUGGGAAUGCAGCUCAAAAUGGGUGGUAAAUUCCAUCUAAAGCUAAAUAUUGGCGAGAGACCGAUAGCGAACAAGUACCGUGAGGGAAAGAUGAAAAGGACUUUGGAAAGAGAGUUAAACAGUACGUGAAAUUGCUGAAAGGGAAACGCUUGAAGUCAGUCGCAUUAUCCAGGGAUCAACCUUGCUUUUGCUUGGUGUACUUUCUGGUUGAUGGGUCAGCAUCAAUUUUGACUAUUGGAAAAAGAUUAAGGGAAUGUGGCAUCUUCGGAUGUGUUAUAGCCUUUGGUUGAAUACAAUGGUUGGGAUUGAGGAACUCAGCACGCCGCAAGGCCGGGUUUUUAACCACGUACGUGCUUAGGAUGCUGGCAUAAUGGCUUUAAUCGACCCGUCUUGAAACACGGACCAAGGAGUCUAACAUGCCUGCGAGUAUUUGGGUGGAAAACCCGAGUGCGUAAUGAAAGUGAAAGUUGAGAUCCCUGUCAUGGGGAGCAUCGACGCCCGGACCAGACCUUUUGUGACGGUUCCGCGGUAGAGCAUGUAUGUUGGGACCCGAAAGAUGGUGAACUAUGCCUGAAUAGGGUGAAGCCAGAGGAAACUCUGGUGGAGGCUCGUAGCGAUUCUGACGUGCAAAUCGAUCGUCAAAUUUGGGUAUAGGGGCGAAAGACUAAUCGAACCAUCUAGUAGCUGG